UUAAGCGACUAAGCGUACACGGUGGAUGCCCUGGCAGUCAGAGGCGAUGAAGGACGUGCUAAUCUGCGAUAAGCGUCGGUAAGGUGAUAUGAACCGUUAUAACCGGCGAUUUCCGAAUGGGGAAACCCAGUGUGUUUCGACACACUAUCAUUAACUGAAUCCAUAGGUUAAUGAGGCGAACCGGGGGAACUGAAACAUCUAAGUACCCCGAGGAAAAGAAAUCAACCGAGAUUCCCCCAGUAGCGGCGAGCGAACGGGGAGCAGCCCAGAGCCUGAAUCAGUGUGUGUGUUAGUGGAAGCGUCUGGAAAGGCGCGCGAUACAGGGUGACAGCCCCGUACACAAAAAUGCACAUGCUGUGAGCUCGAUGAGUAGGGCGGGACACGUGGUAUCCUGUCUGAAUAUGGGGGGACCAUCCUCCAAGGCUAAAUACUCCUGACUGACCGAUAGUGAACCAGUACCGUGAGGGAAAGGCGAAAAGAACCCCGGCGAGGGGAGUGAAAAAGAACCUGAAACCGUGUACGUACAAGCAGUGGGAGCACAGAGCAAUCUGUGUGACUGCGUACCUUUUGUAUAAUGGGUCAGCGACUUAUAUUCUGUAGCAAGGUUAACCGAAUAGGGGAGCCGAAGGGAAACCGAGUCUUAACUGGGCGUUAAGUUGCAGGGUAUAGACCCGAAACCCGGUGAUCUAGCCAUGGGCAGGUUGAAGGUUGGGUAACACUAACUGGAGGACCGAACCGACUAAUGUUGAAAAAUUAGCGGAUGACUUGUGGCUGGGGGUGAAAGGCCAAUCAAACCGGGAGAUAGCUGGUUCUCCCCGAAAGCUAUUUAGGUAGCGCCUCGUGAAUUCAUCUCCGGGGGUAGAGCACUGUUUCGGCAAGGGGGUCAUCCCGACUUACCAACCCGAUGCAAACUGCGAAUACCGGAGAAUGUUAUCACGGGAGACACACGGCGGGUGCUAACGUCCGUCGUGAAGAGGGAAACAACCCAGACCGCCAGCUAAGGUCCCAAAGUCAUGGUUAAGUGGGAAACGAUGUGGGAAGGCCCAGACAGCCAGGAUGUUGGCUUAGAAGCAGCCAUCAUUUAAAGAAAGCGUAAUAGCUCACUGGUCGAGUCGGCCUGCGCGGAAGAUGUAACGGGGCUAAACCAUGCACCGAAGCUGCGGCAGCGACGCUUAUGCGUUGUUGGGUAGGGGAGCGUUCUGUAAGCCUGUGAAGGUGUGCUGUGAGGCAUGCUGGAGGUAUCAGAAGUGCGAAUGCUGACAUAAGUAACGAUAAAGCGGGUGAAAAGCCCGCUCGCCGGAAGACCAAGGGUUCCUGUCCAACGUUAAUCGGGGCAGGGUGAGUCGACCCCUAAGGCGAGGCCGAAAGGCGUAGUCGAUGGGAAACAGGUUAAUAUUCCUGUACUUGGUGUUACUGCGAAGGGGGGACGGAGAAGGCUAUGUUGGCCGGGCGACGGUUGUCCCGGUUUAAGCGUGUAGGCUGGUUUUCCAGGCAAAUCCGGAAAAUCAAGGCUGAGGCGUGAUGACGAGGCACUACGGUGCUGAAGCAACAAAUGCCCUGCUUCCAGGAAAAGCCUCUAAGCAUCAGGUAACAUCAAAUCGUACCCCAAACCGACACAGGUGGUCAGGUAGAGAAUACCAAGGCGCUUGAGAGAACUCGGGUGAAGGAACUAGGCAAAAUGGUGCCGUAACUUCGGGAGAAGGCACGCUGAUAUGUAGGUGAAGUCCCUCGCGGAUGGAGCUGAAAUCAGUCGAAGAUACCAGCUGGCUGCAACUGUUUAUUAAAAACACAGCACUGUGCAAACACGAAAGUGGACGUAUACGGUGUGACGCCUGCCCGGUGCCGGAAGGUUAAUUGAUGGGGUCAGCGCAAGCGAAGCUCUUGAUCGAAGCCCCGGUAAACGGCGGCCGUAACUAUAACGGUCCUAAGGUAGCGAAAUUCCUUGUCGGGUAAGUUCCGACCUGCACGAAUGGCGUAAUGAUGGCCAGGCUGUCUCCACCCGAGACUCAGUGAAAUUGAACUCGCUGUGAAGAUGCAGUGUACCCGCGGCAAGACGGAAAGACCCCGUGAACCUUUACUAUAGCUUGACACUGAACAUUGAGCCUUGAUGUGUAGGAUAGGUGGGAGGCUUUGAAGUGUGGACGCCAGUCUGCAUGGAGCCGACCUUGAAAUACCACCCUUUAAUGUUUGAUGUUCUAACGUUGACCCGUGAUCCGGGUUGCGGACAGUGUCUGGUGGGUAGUUUGACUGGGGCGGUCUCCUCCUAAAGAGUAACGGAGGAGCACGAAGGUUGGCUAAUCCUGGUCGGACAUCAGGAGGUUAGUGCAAUGGCAUAAGCCAGCUUGACUGCGAGCGUGACGGCGCGAGCAGGUGCGAAAGCAGGUCAUAGUGAUCCGGUGGUUCUGAAUGGAAGGGCCAUCGCUCAACGGAUAAAAGGUACUCCGGGGAUAACAGGCUGAUACCGCCCAAGAGUUCAUAUCGACGGCGGUGUUUGGCACCUCGAUGUCGGCUCAUCACAUCCUGGGGCUGAAGUAGGUCCCAAGGGUAUGGCUGUUCGCCAUUUAAAGUGGUACGCGAGCUGGGUUUAGAACGUCGUGAGACAGUUCGGUCCCUAUCUGCCGUGGGCGCUGGAGAACUGAGGGGGGCUGCUCCUAGUACGAGAGGACCGGAGUGGACGCAUCACUGGUGUUCGGGUUGUCAUGCCAAUGGCACUGCCCGGUAGCUAAAUGCGGAAGAGAUAAGUGCUGAAAGCAUCUAAGCACGAAACUUGCCCCGAGAUGAGUUCUCCCUGACUCCUUGAGAGUCCUGAAGGAACGUUGAAGACGACGACGUUGAUAGGCCGGAUGUGUAAGCGCAGCGAUGCGUUGAGCUAACCGGUACUAAUGAACCGUGAGGCUUAACCUU
rnacentral:rRNA from 1 species